AAACUAAACACUUUGAAUUGUGGCUACAACAUUAGACAAAACCAAACAACACACUACACAUACUCGCAUCUUUUUUACAUGGAUGAUGUUAAGUUGUAUGCCUCAACACAAACAAUUACAACAGCUGUUACAAAUUACGCACACAUAUUCAAAAGACAUCUGCAUGGAGUUUGGUCUAGACAAAUGCAAAACACUUCACAUAGAAAACGGAGUCCUAAAGAAAGACUUCACUUAUGAAAACAGGGAUACUAUCGAAUCCAUGGAAGAGGGUGAGGUGGAAAAGUGCAAAGUGUGAGCUAAUGCCCACAUCUCUGUGUAGAUCCGAACCCCGCACUCCCUCCAUCCCAUUCUUCCUCUUGGUUCUUACUUUUAUUGUUAUAUCAAUCUGUUUCCUCCAACCAUUUCUUAAAAUACUCCAGAUAUGGAAAACACUGUUCC
rnacentral:lncRNA from 1 species